AUCUGCAGCUCCAGUUGUAAAACUGUUUUGAUUGCAUCGUGAACUAAGCAUGGCGAAUGCAUUUCCGAUUGGCCUUUUUCUGAGUAUUGCCACAUUAAUCAUACAAUCUGGAUCUGCUCUCAACUGUACCAUAUGUGUCAGUUCGGCGGGAUAGGAAAGCUGUACGAAUGCAAGCGUGAUUGUCCCGUGCAGCGUUGUUGAGGUGAACUACGUCCACGAAGAAUCAAAAUUAUUCAAUCCCACUUUGCAAAGUUUGCCGGAAUCUACUACCAACGUUAGCUUUCAAUGUUUCUCGCUUGAAGUGAUGUCGAACAAGUCUUCCGCACAGCAGGAGAUUGAACGCAGAUUUGUUUCCUGGUGUACCUUCAAGCCGCAGAAAUUCUGUGAAGGAUGGAACGAUGCGCUCCAAUUGGUUCGGUGUGAUACUUGUGAAACACUGGAUAUUUGUUCGUUGAAGGAGGAGAAUGGGAACAAUGGCAAUGGAGCAGGAUAUAGGGUAAUGGUCAAUCCGAUGACCAUAUAUAUGCUAGGUCUGGUGGCACUGAUUAAUUUGUUUUGUCAAAGGCCUUCUUGAAGGAUUAGGAGCAGAAUCAUAUCCAGAGAGCUUCAUAUUUCUAGACUAACAUGUGAAGUGCCGGAACAACCUUUACCAAUCAAAGUGAAACCCUCGCAAAAAAUAUUUGUGUUACAAAUAAGAAUAUCAGUUUUAAGUGUUAUUACAAGUUGCUUCCGAUAUUUUGUUUCCACUUCAUGUGAAAUUUGUAUGGUCCAAUUUGCCCCACAAUAUCUUUAUAGUGAUAGGUCCCAUAAAACAAGCAUCACAAUCAAAACUUUUCCUACCCGUUUCAAACAUUUUCCUAAAGAAAUGUACUAAAACAUUCCAACAAAUGAUUUCAUAGCUGAAUAGAUGAAUCCAAACGCAGAA